UACAGAGGGUGCGAGCGUUGUCCGGAAUCACUGGGCGUAAAGGGCGCGUAGGCGGCCUGCUAAGUAGAGGGUGAAAUCCUGCGGCUCAACCGCAGGGCUGCCUUCUAAACUGUCAGGCUGGAGCACGGUAGAGGCAGAUGGAAUUCCCGGUGUAGCGGUGGAAUGCGUAGAGAUCGGGAAGAACACCAGUGGCGAAGGCGGUCUGCUGGGCCGUUGCUGACGCUGAGGCGCGACAGCGUGGGGAGCAAACGGG
rnacentral:rRNA from 1 species